GGGUGAGUAAUAUAUCGGAACGUACCCUGGAGUGGGGGAUAACGUAGCGAAAGUUACGCUAAUACCGCAUACGAUCUAAGGAUGAAAGCAGGGGACCGCAAGGCCUUGUGCUCCUGGAGCGGCCGAUAUCUGAUUAGCUAGUUGGUGGGGUAAAGGCCCACCAAGGCAUCGAUCAGUAGCUGGUCUGAGAGGACGACCAGCCACACUGGAACUGAGACACGGUCCAGACUCCUACGGGAGGCAGCAGUGGGGAAUUUUGGACAAUGGGCGCAAGCCUGAUCCAGCAAUGCCGCGUGAGUGAAGAAGGCCUUCGGGUUGUAAAGCUCUUUUGUCAGGGAAGAAACGGUGGAGGCUAAUAUCCUUCGCUAAUGACGGUACCUGAAGAAUAAGCACCGGCUAACUACGCGCCAGCAGCCGCGGUAAUACGUAGGGUGCAAGCGUUAAUCGGAAUUACUGGGCGUAAAGCGUGCGCAGGCGGUUUUGUAAGUUUGUCGUGAAAUCCCCGGGCUCAACCUGGGAAUGGCGAUGAAGACUGCAAGGCUAGAGUUUGGCAGAGGGGGGUAGAAUUCCACGUGUAGCA
rnacentral:rRNA from 1 species